rnacentral:tRNA from 1 species
UUGGCUACACUGGCGCAGCAUUGGAAAGGCUGCAAACGGCAGUUUGUAAUCAGGGGGCCAGGGGUUCGAAUCCUCUAGCCGGCACCA